UUUUCCGGGGCCACUGGUGAAAAGAAAUGGGUUUCCUGCACUUGAACUCUCUUUCCUGCAGCCCAAAGUACCUGCUUAUGAAACACUCGGUUACCCAGCUGUCUCUGGUUUUUAAAUCCAGAGGAUGUUGCUGAUUGAAAUUAUUGACUCCAAAAGUUGUGGUAGCCAGCCUCGUACCUGACUGCUUUGGGACCUUACUCCAGUCUCAUAACUUCUCAAUAUUGUCACCAUCAAUUGAAUGUGAAGGGAUCCUGAAAUCUAAAGUUUUGAGAACCACAGUUCUAGGCUCUUCUCUGAUGUCUUAAUUUCCCAACCAGAUUGGUAAGGCCUUGAAGGCAAAGGUUUAAUCAGCAUAUUAACAUUUUAGGGUUUUGAUCUUUUUGUUCUCUCAGUGGUCUGUUUUUCCUAUCAGAUUUAUCACACUGUGUGACAAUUACACUGUCUGUAGCUGUCCCACCAUGUCUAAUUCCUUAAGAGGAGACACUUUGCUUGGCUGGUCUUUGUUUUUCCUAUCUCUCCUAGCAUCCUUUGCUUAACAAGUGUUCAGUAAGUUUGUGAAAAGCUCAUGUGUGGCAUAGUAAUGAGCAAGCAAAUAAAAUGCAAUAAUAUGUCCUAACAAAUCUAUCAAAAUUUAUAUGUCCCUGUUUCCUCCAAAGCAGUCAUUGUGUAAGGGCAUGUCUUUAUUUUGGUUAAGGCUAUUGCCUAAUAUAUGUUUGCAUCUUGUGCUUUAUAAUUGCCUUCCUUAGAGGCCUAAACUGAAAAGGUGUAAAGAUGCGUAUCUUCUCGCUAUUGACAAAUCCUUUUCUUUUGAGGGUACGUUUGACUUUUGAAACCAUUUAAAGUCAUUUGAAAACAAACCUGAAGAAUAAAGUGGCUAUUAAUGCCCUCUUGUCUCACUUACAUGGUUCUAAUAGCAACUUCAAAAUAUUAGGUAGAUAUGUUUUGCACUGUAUUAUUCCUUUGGUGAUACUCUCUAUGUAUUUAUUGAGUCCUACCAUGUGCUUUAUUAUUAUGUUCUCUGUUGGUUUCCCUAGUGUAUUUUGAGGGUAGGUCAGGGGAUAAGAAACAGAAACUUUGGUCUCAGCCCUUCCCCACAGGCUCCUGGGGGAAACAUGUUGGUUCAGGUCUGUUGUUUCAUUGUCGACCAUUUGCCUGUAGAGACUGAAAAAAAGACAUAAAAGUUGCUCUGGAUUAUUUGUAAGAAUGGUUUGUGAGGCUGAACAAAGAAGACUGGAGGGCCUACAAUCUUAUGCAGGCCACAGUUCUUUCCUG